UGGAGAGGAGGUGUGUGUUGUGACUAUGCCUCAACAAUGGGUAAUCAGGUUGAGGAUCAACAUGUGGACUUUCUACAUGUUGCUUCUGGAUAGACUGUAGGUCUUGAACUUUCUCAAGUUCAACUAUCCUCCCAUUGCUCUCUUCUUGGAUGAACUCUCUUCAAGAAAGUGGCAUACCUACUAACAAACAUCUUUUAUUGAGUAUAAUGGUAGAUGUAAUAUCCUAUACUCU
rnacentral:lncRNA from 1 species